rnacentral:rRNA from 1 species
AGUGAACGCUGGCGGUAGGCCUAACACAUGCAAGUCGAACGGCAGCACAGUAAGAGCUUGCUCUUACGGGUGGCGAGUGGCGGACGGGUGAGGAAUACAUCGGAAUCUACUUUUUCGUGGGGGAUAACGUAGGGAAACUUACGCUAAUACCGCAUACGACCUACGGGUGAAAGCAGGGGAUCUUCGGACCUUGCGCGAUUGAAUGAGCCGAUGUCGGAUUAGCUAGUUGGCGGGGUAAAGGCCCACCAAGGCGACGAUCCGUAGCUGGUCUGAGAGGAUGAUCAGCCACACUGGAACUGAGACACGGUCCAGACUCCUACGGGAGGCAGCUGUGGGGAAUAUUGGACAAUGGGCGCAAGCCUGAUCCAGCCAUACCGCGUGGGUGAAGAAGGCCUUCGGGUUGUAAAGCCCUUUUGUUGGGAAAGAAAAGCAGCAGGUUAAUACCCCGCUGUUCUGACGGUACCCAAAGAAUAAGCACCGGCUAACUUCGUG